rnacentral:rRNA from 1 species
UACGAAGGGGGCUAGCGUUGCUCGGAAUCACUGGGGCGUAAAGGGUGCGUAGGCGGGUCUUUUAAGUCAGGGGUGAAAUCCUGGAGCUCAACUCCAGAACUGCCUUUGAUACUGAGGAUCUUGAGUUCGGGAGAGGUGAGUGGAACUGCGAGUGUAGAGGUGAAAUUCGUAGAUAUUCGCAAGAACACCAGUGGCGAAGGCGGCUCACUGGCCCCGAUACUGACGCUGGAGGCACGAAAGCG